CAGCUUCCCCGCGACCCUCACAGAUAAUGAAUGAAUGAGUGAAGGUCAAAUGUGUCGUUAUUUUAUUUUUAACCACUUUACAGGACACAGAAGGCAGUGUUCAAGGGUGGCUGCAGACUGAUUCAACAAUCAACAUUUAUUUGCUUUAUUUUUACAUAAAUAAAAUCAUUUUCUGCUGUCAACAGAGCGUCUGUGUUCAUGUUUGCAUUGAUGUUUUCUCAUGCAUUUGUUGUAACUGCACUUUAACAAAAACCUUUACACUGAGAGUUAAGAAACUUGUGUUUGAUUAUUUCUUUAUUGUACCAAUUCUUUAUGGCAAUUCAUCUUAUACUGUUGGAAAGCGUGUUUAUUUCCGUUCUAAAUUAUGCUACAUAUGUAAGGAAAAUAUGUUUGUGGGAUGAGCAGGAGGGUUGAGUAUGUGAUAGCACCCAUGAAAACAGCUUAUUCUGCUAUUUGCUGCCAUGACUGCCCCUUCACCAUCAGCCCAGCUCGUGUUGGCAACAUGUGCACUGAAUCCUGGACAUAAUUUGGGAGUGGAGGGGGUAGAAUGGCCUGCCUACAGUCCUGAUCUCAACCCCAUUGAACACUUGUGGGAUCAACUUGCUGUUCAUGCCAGAGUGACCAACACAACCACACUGACUGGCUUGCAGCACAAUGUGAUGCCAUCCCACAGCAGCGCGUGCCCAAGCUGGUGACCAGCAUGAGUAGGAGUUCCAGGUUGCUGAGGCUGUUUGGUUCUUUCACAUGAUACUGAGGCCUCUGUUUGUUAAAUGUAUUAAUUGUUAAAUUGCCAAUAUGUCUCGUAUCACCAGACACAAACUUCUGUACAUUUUGUACAAAAUUUAGUUGAUGGAAGUGUUUUGUGGAAACUUUAAAGGGUUUCAAGCUCACUUGAGAUUAUUUUUGCUGUUUUCUAAAAACGGUUAAUGCGUAUCUGGUCAGAUAGAGACACCACGUAUGAAUCAGAUGCCAUGAUGAACAUGUGAUUCAUGUGUUGAUAGCAAAAAUAAUUUGUUUCUAUUUCUACAGAAUAAACAUGGAAAAUACUUACAAUGUGAAAUAAAAAUAACAGUUUAGUCAGCCAUGGUGACAUGUUCUGUUUGUGUCUUUUUCUGCAAUGUUUUAUGCUGGCUUAGGCUCCAGCUUCCCCAUGACCCUUAAUGGACAGGGCAGUAUGGAUAAUGGAUGGAUGGAUAUGUGAGCCUAAUCAUUUGAGGCUUUGACCACAUUUAACACAAUUCAAGUAUUAUAACUGUAUGUUACAGAAAAUAAGCAAAAGUGGAACAAGUUCCCUUUAACACACUCAGAUCUGAUGCAACAUAUACAUGCCUUGACCUUUCAAGCCUAAUAUAACAUGGAUGUUGCAUCAUAACUUUCAAGUCACAUAAUAUAUUGUGUUAACACUGAUAAACAUUAGAGCAAAUUCCAUUAUUUACAGCCAUAUUCUAAGGUUCAAGUGGGCAGUUCAAGCUUUUUAAAAUAAAACCUUAUGUCUAAAUAGAUCAAUAUAACACUGCAUACAACAAUUUGCAACUAGAGGCAUGCAGCAAGUGAGGAAUCUUGAGGUGAGCUGGACAGUUGUAGGAUGAACAAAACAAUUACUGAGUGCUGAAAGUUAAAGACUGACAUGUUCAUUAAAUGUUAACAUCCAUCUCAUUGACUGAGUUUACCAACACUUUGUGCUUCAAUGCUUAAUCCCAUCUCUGAACAGUUUCCCAGGAUUAAGCUGCUCCUGUCUCAAAUCCUUCUUAUAUAACUCAUAAACAUUCUGUUUGUAGGCGGACAAAAACAUGCAUGUGAAUCCUUGCACCAAACCAAAACAAAAAAAAAAAAAAAAAAAAGGGGGGGGGAGGGUGUUGUACAACACUUAAUUGCUUUAACUACAGUGCAGCAUUGUUUAAAUAUGUACAGUAAAUCUCUGAAGCCUGACAGGGAAAAAA